CCUACGGGAGGCAGCAGUGGGGAAUAUUGCACAAUGGGGGAAACCCUGAUGCAGCGACGCCGCGUGAGUGAAGAAGUAUUUCGGUACGUAAAGCUCUAUCAGCAGGGAAGAAAAUGACGGUACCUGACUAAGAAGCCCCGGCUAACUACGUGCCAGCAGCCGCGGUAAUACGUAGGGGGCAAGCGUUAUCCGGAUUUACUGGGUGUAAAGGGAGCGUAGACGGCAGUGCAAGUCUGGGGUGAAAGCCCGGGGCUCAACCCCGGGACUGCUCUGGAAACUGUACGGCUGGAGUGCAGGAGAGGGAAGUGGAAUUCCUGGUGUAGCGGUGAAAUGCGUAGAUAUUAGGAGGAACACCAGUGGCGAAGGCGGCUUACUGGACUGUAACUGACGUUGAGGCUCGAAAGCGUGGGGAGCAAACAGGAUUAGAUACCCGAGUAGUC
rnacentral:rRNA from 1 species